ACGGUCAUAUAUGUUAAAACAUCGGUUCCCGUACGAUCAGCGAAGUUAAGCAACGUCGAUUCUGGUCAGUACCUAGAUGGGUGACCUCUUAGAAAUACCAGGUGUUGUAAG